CCUACGGGAGGCAGCAGUGGGGAAUAUUGGACAAUGGGCGAAAGCCUGAUCCAGCAAUGCCGCGUGAGUGAUGAAGGCCUUCGGGUCGUAAAGCUCUUUUACCAGGGAUGAUAAUGACAGUACCUGGAGAAUAAGCUCCGGCUAACUCCGUGCCAGCAGCCGCGGUAAUACGGAGGGAGCUAGCGCUGUUCGGAAUUACUGGGCGUAAAGAGUACGUAGGCGGUUAUUCAAGUCAGAGGUGAAAGCCCGGGGCUCAACCCCGGAACUGCCUUUGAAACUAGAUAACUAGAGUCUUGGAGAGGUUAGUGGAAUUCCGAGUGUAGAGGUGAAAUUCGUAGAUAUUCGGAAGAACACCAGUGGCGAAGGCGACUAACUGGACAAGUACUGACGCUGAGGUACGAAAGCGUGGGGAGCAAACAGGAUUAGAUACCCUGGUAGUCCACGCCGUAAACGAUGAUAACUAGUUGUUCGGUCACUUGGUGACUGAGUGACGCAGCUAACGCAUUAAGUUAUCCGCCUGGGGAUACGGUCGCAAGNUUAAAACUCAAAGGAAUUGACGG
rnacentral:rRNA from 1 species